UAGAGUUUGGAUUAAGGUUUAGAAUUUGGUUAGGGUUUGAUUUAGGGUUUGGAUUAGGGUUUGGUUAGGAUUUGAUUUAGGGUUUGGAUUAGGGUUUAGGAUUUGGUUAGGGUUUAGGAUUGGAUUAGGGUUUGAGUUAGGGUUUAGGAUUUGGUUAGGGUUUAGGAUUGGAUUAGGGUUUGAGUUAGGGUUUAGGAUUAGAUUAGGAUUUGAUUUAGGAUUUAGAUUAGGAUUUGAUUUAAGGUUUGGUUUAGGAUUUAGGGUUUGGAUUAGGGUUUAGGAUUGGAUUAGAGUUUGGAUUAGGGUUUAGAAUUUGGUUUAGGAUUUAGGAUUUGAAAUAGGAUUUGAUUUAGGGUUUAAUUUAAGGUUUGUUUAGGAUUUGACUUAGGACUUAGGAUUUAUUAGGGUUUAAGAUUUAAUUAGGUUUGGUCUAAAGU
rnacentral:lncRNA from 1 species